AGUCAAUAGAUACCCUGGUAGUCCCAGCCGUAAACGAUGCGCGUUAGGUGUAUCGGUGACCACGAGUCACCGAGGUGCCGAAAGGGAAACCGUGAAACGUGCCGCCUGGGAAGUACGGUCGUAAGGCUGAAACUUAAAGGAAUUGGCGGGGGUAGCACCACAACAGGUGGAGCCUGCGGUUUAAUCGGACUCAACGCCGGGAACCUCACCGGAUAAGACAGCGGGAUGAUAGCCAGGCUGAAGACUUUGCUUGACUAGCUGAGAGGAGGUGCAUGGCCGUCGUCAGUUCGUACUGUGAAGCAUCCUGUUAAGUCAGGCAACGAGCGAGACCCACGCCAACAGUUGCUAGCAUGUCCU
rnacentral:rRNA from 1 species